AGAAUGAACGUUGGCGGCGUGGAUUAGGCAUGCAAGUCGUACGGGCCGCAAGGCCAGUGGCGCAAGGGUGAGUAAGGCGACGGUAACCAACCCCAGGAUUGGGUAUAGCCGCGGGAAACUGCGGGUAAUCCCCAGCGAUGUUCGCGGGAGGCAUCUCCUGUGAACCAAAGCUCUGGCGUCGUGGGACGGGCUGUCGUGGUAUUAGCUUGUUGGCGGGGUAACGGCCCACCAAGGCUCUGAUGCCUACCGGGCGUGCGAGCGUGGCCCGGCACACUGGGACUGAGACACUGCCCAGACUCCUACGGGAGGCUGCAGUCGAGAAUCUUCGGCAAUGGGGCGCAAGCCUGACCGAGCGACGCCGCGUGGAGGACGAAGGCCUUCGGGUUGUAAACUCCUGUCGAGGGGAAGAAGGGCCCUUAAAAGCCUUGACUGAUCCCUGGAGGAAGCACGGGCUAAGUUCGUGCCAGCAGCCGC
rnacentral:rRNA from 1 species